AGUCGUAACAAGGUAUCCGUAGGUGAACCUGCGGAUGGAUCAUUAUUAUUUUUACAAAAAUUAAUUUAAAAAUAAGUUAUACAAUCUUUUUUUCUUCUCUUUUGUUUUUUUUAAAAAUGAAGGAGAAAGAAGAGAAAGUAUAAUUUAUUUUUAAUAUUAAAAACCCCCCUUAAAAGAGAACUUGUUAAUAGUACACUCUACUCUAUUAUAUGAGUAUUGUAUUAAUUUUUUUAACCCAUUUUUUUAAAAAAUGUGUGUUGGAUAAAAUCAUUUUUGUUUUUCAAAAACAAAAUAAUCAAAAAAACAACUUUUAACAAUGGAUAUCUUGGUUCUC
rnacentral:misc_RNA from 1 species